UUUUUUUUUUUUUUUUUUUUUUUUUUUUGUCUUUUUGUCUUUUUGUUUUUUCUAGGGCCGCUCCUGCGGCACAUGGAGAUUCCCAGGCUGGGGGUCUAAUCGGAGCUGUAGCCGCUGGCCUACACCAGAGCCACAGCAACACAGGAUCUGAGCCGCAUCUGGGACCUACACCACAGUUCAUAGCAACGCCAGGUCCUUAACCCACUGAGCAAGGCCAGGGAUCAAACCUGAAACCUCAUGGUUCCUAGUUGGAUUCGUUAACCACUGAGCCACAACAGGAACUCCACCUGCCCUCAUCUUUGACAUCACUGGAGAACACAGAGGUGACACCAUAAAAUCUACAUCUUUGGCCUUUGUGGAAUGGGGACAUAUGUGGCUUACCAGGAGAGUCCCAGCCCAUGUGAUGACCCUCUUGGCAUUAGAAGCUGGAUCAUUUCUUUUCUUUUCUUUUCUUUGGCACAAGGCAGGUGCUGCACCCACAGCAUGCAGAAGUUCCGGGGCCAGGGAUUGAACCUGUGCCAUGGUAGCAACCCAAGCCACAGCAGUGACAACACCAGAUCCUUAACCGACUGAGCCACCAGGGAACUCCAGAAGUUAGAUCAUUUUCAUCAACUAGUCAAAGAGAGAAGGUUGCAGGGGAGACCAGAGCAACAUUUGUCAAAGCUAGUGCCCUGCCCCUGGCUUCAUCCAGCUACAUGUGGAAAAGGAUAUCUCCAUCCAAACAUCAGGACAAGAAUAUAAGAGGCCUGUGAGAGCUCCUGGGAGAGAUGAUGGCUCAGCAAGUUAGGUCCAGGGCUCAGAUGGCCAGAUCCAGAUCUGACGGGCAGCUUGUUUACAAAGCUUAACUCUGGACAAGCUACGGGAGCCAAGGUCUCCUAAGAAACACGGCCUUUGUCCCCCCAGGCUGGAUAAGGCGUCUCUAGGGGUAUUGGGUUAGCAAUGCACACGUCACUGCCUCUCAGCCUGACUCCUCCUCAGGGACCAUCUGCUCGAGGCUGACACACCCCUUUCAGGGCACGGCAGCUCAGCCAGCCCUUUGCUCACUCUCCCCGUUCUCUGCGGUAUCAUCCUUCUCCCCCCACUGUGGAUCUCACAGGCAAACAUCACUUCACAGCUUUCUCAGCCUCACUCCAUGUAUUUCCCUCCUUUGAGGGAAAGCCCCAUUUUACAGAUGAGGAUGCUGAACACCGGGGACUUCAGGCAGCUUGCCCAGCCUACACAGCUGCGGAGGAGCAAAGCCAGCAUGGGAAUCCAUGUCUUCUGGCUCCAAAUUCAGCAUUGUUUUCCCUCCUAAUUCCCAUUUCCUGUCUGUCUGAAUAGCCCUCCAGUCCCCUUGGCCUUAAAGCUCCCAGGAGCUCAGCCAGAGCGAGCUUGCUUCCAGGCUGUGAUCUGGCCCUGACACUGGGAGAGGGUGUGAGAGCUUCUUGUCUGACAGUCUGAAAACAAGGCAGAUUUUCAUAGACCCAGAGAAGAUAUGUUGACCCCCAAGAUCUGCUCCGUGGGUCUCCAGGGGUCCCUAGCCAGAAUUCUGGAGGUGGUCUCUGAGGGGAGGGGCAACUUUCUAGGUGGUCUGGCUGCCAGUCCUGACCACCCCCAGCGCUCACCCUUGGUUCCUUUUUGGGAACUACCCCCCUCCCCCGCUGGUGGCGCCCUUGCAGGUGACCCCACUCAUUUUCCAUCAACCAAAAGGCAGAAUCACCAUGGCUCCAAUGAAGGGCUCUCCGAGAGCACGGACCCACUCGUAAAAUGAGAAAACUCAGAGAGGGGCAGCGAUCUGCUCCAGGCCACACAGCAAAUUAGAGGAAAUUCCAGAACUGGAGCCAAGCCUCCUGGCUGUUCAUCCAGCGCUCUCCCUCGUGCACUGCGUACAGUCCUCGUCCCAUUCUGUAUAUUUCAUAGCCAGUACUUUCCGUCCUAGACGCCACGUCCAUGUUCACCUGCCUCCUUUAUAUUGUACAAGAGCCCUGUGCAUGGAGUAUUACUGGAGCCGUUGCACACUUAGGAAAAACAAUCAUUUGCUAGCUAGAAUAACAGAGCCACCAAGUCCAGUCUUCAGACUUGCAUGCUUUUCAUUAAACCAUGCUGCUUCAUGAGUACAGCCCCCUCCACCUGAAUAGUGACUCCUGAGAGAACAGAUUUAAUUGGAAGUGUCCGGGAGUUCCCGUUGUGGCUCAGUGGUUAACGAAUCCGACUAGGAACCAUGAGGAACUCCUUUAUUUUAAUGAUGUGGAAAGAGGCUCACAAAGGGAAAGUAGUGGCACAAGGUCACAUGGGAAGUUAGUGGCAGGUUUGGGACUGGGAUUCAGGCCUGCAACUUCCCAGUCCGCCCCUGAUGACAUAGGUUUCAGUCAGUUCCAUCAUUUAUACCUUUUUUUUUUUUUAGGGCUGCACCUGCAGCAUAUGGAGGUUCCCAGGCUAGGGGUCGAAUUGGAGCUACAGCUGCCAGCCAACACCACAGCCACAGCAACUUGGAAUCUGAACAGCAUCUGCAACCUACAACACAGCUCACAGCAACUCCAGACCCUGACGCACUGAGCAAGCCCAAGGAUCAAACCUGCAUCCUCAUGGAUACUAGUCAGAUUUGUUUCUGCUGUGCCACAACAGGAGCUCCUUUAUACCCAUUUUUGCAGAUGAGGAAACAAGCUUAGAUUGCUCAAAGAACUGGGAAGUAGCAAAACAAAUACAAGGCAUUUACUUGACAGGUUUGAGGCAAGAUCAGAAAAUGAACCGAGAGCUGAGAGUCAUUGGCAGCAGGGUGGUGCAGUAGAAAAAGAGCUGGAAUGGGAGUCUAGGCCCUUGCAAGGACCAUGGUUUGGUCAGCGAUUAUUUUCUUCAAUACCAAAACCUUAAUUCCAAAGUCCAGUUUGCUCCGGAGAGCUUUUCUUCCCCUGGAAGGUGUGUGUGUGUAUGUGUGUACUAUAUGAAAAGUGCACCCAAGCUAGGGAAAAAUUAAGAAAGGAUGGUUACUCUGCAUAGGCAGUGCAUUUGGGACCAGAGGUGUGAUACCAACAGACCACGAGGGUUUCCUAAGAUCUUCAGGGAAAAGUCCUGGCCAGUAGCCUCACCGGGCACUUGGACAGAAAGAGAUCGCCAAACGGACCGCAGACCCGGAGCUGAACUCUCCCUCCAUCCCAGCAUCCAGCACCUGCGU
rnacentral:lncRNA from 1 species